rnacentral:rRNA from 1 species
UGGUCAAGCUACAAAGGGCGCAUGGUGAAUGCCUUGGCACCAGAAGCCGAUGAAGGACGCGAUAAGCUGCGAUAAGCUUCGGGUAGGCGCAAAUAGCCUGAGAUCCGAAGAUUUCCGAAUGGGGCAACCC